CAGGGUUUGGUAGGGCAAGAGGGCAGGUGGGUGCAAUGUUUCUUCUUUUGAUGUGUUCUUGUCUUCACCUCAGGGACCUGGACGCCCUGCCUGUUGAGGCAAGGUUGUGGAUGUCCCGGGCCUUAUGGUCCCUGCUUCGCAUGAUGUGGGGCAGCAUCCAUCUGAACGCUCAUCACUACCAAGGCCAAGGUUUUGGAAGGAAGUCCUUCUUCUCCCAUCUUAGUAUUAGACCAUCGGAUUUGGGACACGGGACUAAGGCCGCUGACUCUGCAUCCCUUACAAGCAUACACAGCUGCCUGCCCUUUUGCCUUGUGUCCAUCCUGGAGCGGCCUUCUGCAAGAUUCUAUGUUACCUGUCCUCGGUCCACUUGGAAUCUCUUGAGAGAGCCGAGUCCUGUGUGUUCCUAGGCCCUGCCACAGGGACCUGGACGCCCUGCCUGUUGAGGCAAGGUUGUGGAUGUCCCGUGCCUUAUGGUCCCUGCUUCGCAUGAUGUGGGGCAGCAUCCAUCUGAACGCUCAUCACUACCAAGGCCAAGGUUUUGGAAGGAAGUCCUUCUUCUCCCAUCUUAGUAUUAGACCAUCGGAUUUGGGACACGGGACUAAGGCCGCUGACUCUGCAUCCCUUACAAGCAUACACAGCUGCCUGCCCUUUUGCCUUGUGUCCAUCCUGGAGCGGCCUUCUGCAAGAUUCUAUGUUACCUGUCCUCGGUCCACUUGGAAUCUCUUGAGAGAGCCGAGUCCUGUGUGUUCCUAGGCCCUGCCACAGGGACCUGGACGCCCUGCCUGUUGAGGCAAGGUUGUGGAUGUCCCGUGCCUUAUGGUCCCUGCUUCGCAUGAUGUGGGGCAGCAUCCAUCUGAACGCUCAUCACUACCAAGGCCAAGGUUUUGGAAGGAAGUCCUUCUUCUCCCAUCUUAGUAUUAGACCAUCGGAUUUGGGACACGGGACUAAGGCCGCUGACUCUGCAUCCCUUACAAGCAUACACAGCUGCCUGCCCUUUUGCCUUGUGUCCAUCCUGGAGCGGCCUUCUGCAAGAUUCUAUGUUACCUGUCCUCGGUCCACUUGGAAUCUCUUGAGAGAGCCGAGUCCUGUGUGUUCCUAGGCCCUGCCACAGGGACCUGGACGCCCUGCCUGUUGAGGCAAGGUUGUGGUUGUCCCGGGCCUUAUGGUCCCUGCUUCGCAUGAUGUGGGGCAGCAUCCAUCUGAACGCUCAUCACUACCAAGGCCAAGGUUUUGGAAGGAAGUCCUUCUUCUCCCAUCUUAGUAUUAGACCAUCGGAUUUGGGACACGGGACUAAGGCCGCUGACUCUGCAUCCCUUACAAGCAUACACAGCUGCCUGCCCUUUUGCCUUGUGUCCAUCCUGGAGCGGCCUUCUGCAAGAUUCUAUGUUACCUGUCCUCGGUCCACUUGGAAUCUCUUGAGAGAGCCGAGUCCUGUGUGUUCCUAGGCCCUGCCACAGGUAGGUGGGUGUCCACAGAGGAUACAGAGAGUUCCAUGCCUGACAGGGUCUUGGGGAAGUUAGAGAACGGAAAGAGAAGUUUCCUGAGUGGUGCCUGGUAUUUGGU